GGGGACGUGGCGCAAUGGCUAGCGCAUCUGAUUCCAGUUCAUGAAACUCCAGAAGGCUGUCCGUUCGACUCGGGCCGUCCUCA
rfam:Diaporthe helianthi strain 7/96 Scaffold_12461.1, whole genome shotgun sequence.